rnacentral:rRNA from 1 species
ACGGAAGGCAGCAGUGGGGAAUAUUGGGCAAUGGGCGCAAGCCUGACCCAGCAAUGCCGCGUGAAGGAAGAAGGCUUUCGGGUUGUAAACUUCUUUUAAGUGGACGAUAAUGACGGUACCACUUGAAUAAGCUCCGGCUAACUACGUGCCAGCAGCCGCGGUAAUACGUAGGGAGCAAGCGUUAUCCGGAUUUACUGGGUGUAAAGGGCGUGUAGGCGGGACUGCAAGUCAGAUGUGAAAGCACGAGGCUCAACUUCGUGUCUGCAUUUGAAACUGUAGUUCUUGAGUGUUGGAGAGGCUAACGGAACUCCUAGUGUAGCGGUGAAAUGCGUAGAUAUUAGGAAGAACACCAGUGGCGAAGGCGGUUAGCUGGACAAUAACUGACGCUGAGGCGCGAAAGCGUGGGUAGCAAACAGGAUUAGAUACCCUGGUA